AAAAACACCUCAUGAAUUAUCCAGAGCAUGGAAUAGUAGUCAAUUCUAAAUUUUCUGAAAUAGGAGAAGUUUCUAAACCAAGUUGGAGGGAAUUCGAGGCACCUUUUGAAAAGGGAGUGAGAGAAGCAUUAAACAUUAAAUGGGAAGUGCAGGUAAGAAAAAAUAAUAGCUAUUUCAAGUUGUCUCAUGGUGCAAAAUUAGGUCUUAUAAUGAAAUAUUCAGAGCACAUUCAAGAGCUGUAACUCAGAUCAGACACAGUCCUGGGUCUCUCGAUCCCUUUGCUGUUAACAAUUAACAGGGUCCAGAGACCCAAUUAAUAAAGAAUAACUCUCAAAAAGAAGGAGGUUUUUUGCUGCUGACUGCAGAGGGAUGAACAUUUGCUAUCUAGUUCAAUAUAUCCCAGUUCAGGCAAUAGAAAAUAUUUGACAACCAUCAUGGAAAUAUUGUUUCCUUGGUUGUAGGAGUUGUUUCCUGGCAAAGCUCAAGCAGCAGAGGAAGGGAGUGGAAAUGUGAUGGCACCUGAUUUCUACAUUUUCUCACUUUUAGGAGAGACAGACUGAGGCAAAAUCCUGGACAGUUUGAUCAGUGUGAUACAAUACUUCUACUACAAAAAAUUCCAAGGAUAUAUGGUUUCCUAUUUUCCUCUUCCAGUGUUUUUGGACCACUGUGAUAUGUCAGCUGUGUUCAAAGCUUGGGAUAUAAUGGACUGUUACCUCAGUGGUGCAAUUCUGUGUCUGGUGGAAGAGGAGCUUAACCUGGAGAGAAAAUUGGGAGGGUGGGCAGGGACCCCAAAGGAGAGAUGCCAUGGUCACACUCUGGAAUGAAUCUGCCCCUCCAGCACGUGCAGUGAGUGGGGAAGGCAGGUGGAAACAGGCCAUGGCUAAAAGGAAAUUAAUUUUCCGCAACCUCCCUAUGUUUAAGCCAAAGAAAACGUCUCUUUUUGCUUUGUGUGAAAUGGGUUUUUAUGCUGGAGUUUGCUUUGCCACAAGGAUGGUCUUUGGGUGAUCCUGUUGAUUUGUUCCUGCUCAGAGGAGCUGGAAGAUUGAAUGCACUUCCUCAGUAUUCAGACAUGGCAAGCCCUGGUAAUUAGCUGUCCCAGAGGUAGAUUAUUAGUAAGCUAUAAAAAUUCUCUGAUUUCCAUCAACAAAUACAGUUUCCAGUCAUUACGGUCUGCAAGAAUAGCAUCAAUUUAUUUGAGAUUUUUCUCUCCUAAGCAUCAGUAGGAAGAGUUAUUCCCACAUGAAUUUAGAAGGAUGAUUAGAAAGAGACUUUUUCAAGAUGGCUUUAAACUGAAGCAGCAAGACCUAAGAAUGUAAAUCAUGUUCUAUGGGAAGAAAAAAAAGUAGAUCAGGUUAGGAAUGCAAAUCGUAUUCAAGGGAAAAACUCAGAUCAAUAUUAGAAUCUACCUUGUGUGCCUGCAGUAGCACAAAAUUAUCUGCUGAGCUGCCUGUAGAAAUGACAUUAAAGGGAAGAAAAAGCUGAUAAUUUGGCUCCAUUAAGGUAAAUUGUAACCCAAAUUGGGGGUAAAAUUGUAUGAAAACAGAUGCAGAAUAUUUGUGGAAAAUGUCAGGUAUGUUCUUAUUUCAUUGUUGCAGCAAGAUGGAACAUGAGAUGUUUGAGAGGUGGGGAAAAUGACUGGGAUUGAAUUCCUGAUUCUCAAAUGCUCAAUAGGAAAUGAGUCAGUGGCCUCAUUUUUCCAAGAUAGUGUCUGUCUUUGAAGGAGGGAUCCCAAACUUUGGUAGAUAUAUUCUGGGGAAAUUUAGUUUAGGGAAGGUUUUCAUUAUGAUUCCUAACAUUACCUGGAAUUAUUAAGAAUUUUGUGGAAGGAACAUUUAGAAUAAUAGAUAUUAAACCAAACCAACUGACCAAACAAUCAUUCAGACAAAACCCUUCUUCAGCUUUAGUUUUCUGAACAGAAACAAGAGUUCACAGACUUCUUCUCAGCCUCCAGUUCCUGCAUAUCCCACACAGUUCCUGGAUUUCAGAGGGUAUUUCUUUCUGUGGGAUAGAGCAUCCCACAAGUCAGAGCCUUAGCCCCCAUUUCCUUGAUGAUCUUGAUAAUCUCUUUCUUUUUUUUUUUUAAUUUGUUGUCAGAACCAGAUCCUGAGAAUCCCAGUGUAAAAUUUUGGGUUCAAAUUCCUUGCUUUAGAGCUGGGCUUUGACCCCCUCCAGCUGCCUUCACAACCUGAUCUCUCUGUCAUCUCCCUCAUUCUGGAGUCAAAUGUAUGAUAACACAUCCUGAUGAUGUACAAAAUUGAUGAAAGUAAGAUAGUGGUGUGAAACAUUUGCUAAAUCAAUAUUUUCUGAGCACCUUUUGAGGAGUUUUUUUUUUUUUUGCAAUUUGUGAACAAGUAUAACGAUAGGAGUGGCUAAAUUUAGCCAGUUCUGAAAGUUGUACAGUUUCAAAUGGGAGAUGAGAUUUCCAACAUAUUUGUCUAAAAUGUAUUAGAAAUGGUGUUUAAAAUUUUCUGUGUGAAGGGAGUGGAAUAAAUUAUUCGUUUAGUAAUGUACAUGAAAAAGAAACUUGUUCUUCAUAUUAAAUAUCCUUUGAAUUGUCCCUGUUUUUAGCAUUUUAACAGGGUGACAGCAGCAUAUUAAUGGAAAAAGAUAGUCCUGACCUGUUCUGUUGAGCUUUCAGUGGUUGCCAGACAACUUUCUUCACUAAUGACAAGUGAAAUAUCAUGGUUACAUGACACUAUUGCACUGGAUUAAUAAAUGUGCAGAUCCCAUGUGUCUGAAUUAAAAAUAUGAUUUCCAAUUUCUCUUUCAUGGAAAGUAUUCAGAUUCCAUUGUUUAAUAAAUCAUGUGACAAAACUAAGUAGCAGGAGGUUACGUAGGGUGGUUUGAACAUCAUGAAAAGAGAGGGAUGGCUGAAAAUGUCUUUGGUUGAGCAAAAGGCUGUGAUUUGCAGUGAUUUUCAUGCACUAUAUGUGAUGCAUGAAGCAGUGAGCCAUAAUACAUGGAAAGGGAAAUUCAGAAUGUCUGGCACCUCUGCAAUUCCACACUGCUGGGAGUGAUCACCGAGGCUGAGCCUACAGGUUGGCAGGAGCAGCUAUUUAAAUCUUCAACUGCAGACUUAGGAUCCAAACUCCAUCUCCUAAAAGCUGAUUUCACAGCACAUUGCUGCUCUUUUCCCUUGUUUGCCUGGAGAAUGAUGUACUUGGAAAUUCCUGACUAGGGCAUGGACAGGGCAUGGUGGGAAGGUGGGAGGGAAGAGUCUCUUCCCCUUCCCCUUCCUUUUCCCCUUUCCAUUUCAUUACCAGAACUUUGCUUUUAGAAGACAGAGAGAUGCAAAUAACAUAACUGGGAAAGCAAUUUAUUCCAAGAGAGCUGAAUAUAAGCCCAGACUGAGGAAAUAUGGCACAUGUGAGAGAUGUGGCCAUGUAGGGCCAGACUUCACACCUUUCCUUGGAGAAUCCUAAAGAUUGCCUCAAACAAACCCGCUUUAAUUUCUCUGUCUUGAAAAUGAAGGCUGAAAUGGAUGUCUGGAUAAAUGAACCUAGGGAGAUCUGAGAGGUGAUUUUGUUUAAAUUCUUUUGAUUGCAGCAGAAAUCAAAUUUAUUUUGCUGGAGGGUGACUUCCCAAGCAAAGCACAUUAAAUCACUCUGCAUCCAAGGGAGGGUGAAGCAGCAGAUAUAUAUCCAUGCUGGAGAGGUGAGAUGUCUGUUACAUGUUCAUUACACAUAUUUAUGUCUCAGCUGCAAACUGAAAAGUAUUCAUGAAUUUUAUAUAUUUUAAAAGUGUUUCCAGGUAUGCCCUCAGCUUUUCAGUGAAGUCUGAGCUUGUACAAACUGCUGAGUCCCUCUCUGUCUGCUACACUGUUUAAUUUUUCACCCUUUGGGAAGUUGUGGCAGUUUCACUGCAAGACAGGAGUAGAGAUGGCAAAAUGCAACCAAGCAUGUGAAAAGGUACAUAUUCAGUGCUAAUAGCACAAACAGGGCCUGUCAGGUCUCUGCAGCAC